UGGGGAAUUUUGGACAAUGGGCGCAAGCCUGAUCCAGCCAUGCCGCGUGCAGGAUGAAGGCCUUCGGGUUGUAAACUGCUUUUGUACGGAACGAAAAAGCUCUCUCUAAUACAGGGGGUGAAUGACGGUACCGUAAGAAUAAGCACCGGCUAACUACGUGCCAGCAGCCGCGGUAAUACGUAGGGUGCGAGCGUUAAUCGGAAUUACUGGGCGUAAAGCGUGCGCAGGCGGUUUUGUAAGACAGAGGUGAAAUCCCCGGGCUCAACCUGGGAACUGCCUUUGUGACUGCAAGGCUGGAGUGCGGCAGAGGGGGAUGGAAUUCCGCGUGUAGCAGUGAAAUGCGUAGAUAUGCGGAGGAACACCGAUGGCGAAGGCAAUCCCCUGGGCCUGCACUGACGCUCAUGCACGAAAGCGUGGGGAGCAAACA
rnacentral:rRNA from 1 species